CCUGGCGGUGUCGCUUGUUGUAACCCUCCAACAAACAACGGCGCAAUGUGGAACCGGAACCGGCAAAUUCGGCCAAAUUCAAGUCGGCAAAUCCAAGUUUCUGGCAAGGCUCCAGGACGCCUGUGGAUGCAUUGGCCGACAUUUUGCAAACAAACGGGAAUUUCGCCGCCCAACGCACAGUGUGCUGCUGCACUUCCUCUCUGUCCAGUGUCCACCCGAUGAAAAAUAAAAAUCAAACGAGGGAUUUAAUAGCAGUUAACGCUAGUACAAUUUCAUCAUUAACAAAGUCCUGGAGCGACACAACACCAUAACAAUUGUAAUCAGUAGCACACAGAUCCCGUUGGACCUUUGGACGUCAGGCCCAAACGCACAACCCGCAACAACAACAACCCGAUGUUUUAAAAAAAGAAAAUCCAAGGGAAAAAAUUGCCGCCGUCCAGCAGCCGCAACUUGGCAAAGAGAACGGCACUCGGGAAGGUAACGGCGGUUAACUCUUGGAGAAACAAUUCCACGUGAAAUUUGUAGCGUUUCUUCUUCAGCAUAAACGUCAUGAUAUGUUCCAAAGUUGUAAUAAAAGUGUAGUAUUUGCCACCUAUUUCACGAUACGUAACUUACUAAAUUCCGUUAAUACACCCAAUUGAAGUGGUGGGCAUGAAAA